GAUGAACGCUGGCGGCGUGCUUAACACAUGCAAGUCGAACGGUGAACACGGAGCUUGCUCUGUGGGAUCAGUGGCGAACGGGUGAGUAACACGUGAGCAACCUGCCCCUGACUCUGGGAUAAGCGCUGGAAACGGCGUCUAAUACUGGAUACGAGUAGCGGCCGCAUGGUCAGUUACUGGAAAGAUUUUUUGGUUGGGGAUGGGCUCGCGGCCUAUCAGCUUGUUGGUGAGGUAAUGGCUCACCAAGGCGUCGACGGGUAGCCGGCCUGAGAGGGUAACCGGCCACACUGGGACUGAGACACGGCCCAGACUCCUACGGGAGGCAGCAGUGGAGAAUAUUGCACAAUGGGCGAAAGCCUGAUGCAGCAACGCCGCGUGAGGGAUGACGGCCUUCGGGUUGUAAACCUCUUUAGCAGGGAAGAAGCGGAAGUGACGGUACCUGCAGAAAAAGCGCCGGCUAACUACGUGCCAGCCGCCGCAGUAA
rnacentral:rRNA from 1 species